AUCAAAUAAUUAAAUAAGAUGUUUGUUAUAUUUAGAGCAUGCAAUAAAAUAUAAUGAUAAUAAAUCGGUACACAGUUUAAAAUUUUGAUUACAUACUUUACCGUAAUGAUUACACAUACCAUAAAAUAAGGAUAAACCGGACAAUGCGAAGCUUAGAAUGGGGGAGAAAAAGAAGCAGUUAUCGCCGUCGUCGGUUCAGACCAUCAGAGGGAG
rnacentral:lncRNA from 1 species